rnacentral:rRNA from 1 species
UACGAAGGGGGCUAGCGUUGCUCGGAAUCACUGGGCGUAAAGCGCACGUAGGCGGACUCUUAAGUCAGGGGUGAAAUCCUGGAGCUCAACUCCAGAACUGCCUUUGAUACUGAGGAUCUUGAGUUCGGGAGAGGUGAGUGGAACUGCGAGUGUAGAGGUGAAAUUCGUAGAUAUUCGCAAGAACACCAGUGGCGAAGGCGGCUCACUGGCCCGAUACUGACGCUGAGGAGCGAAAGCGUGGGGAGCGAACAGG